UACGUAGGGGGCGAGCGUUAUCCGGAAUUAUUGGGCGUAAAGAGCUCGUAGGCGGUUUGUCGCGUCUGCCGUGAAAAGUCCGGGGCUCAACUCCGGAUCUGCGGUGGGUACGGGCAGACUAGAGUGAUGUAGGGGAGACUGGAAUUCCUGGUGUAGCGGUGAAAUGCGUAGAUAUCUGGAGGAACACCGGUGGCGAAGGCGGCAUCCUGGACCGGUAUUGACACUGAGGAGCGAAAGCCAGGGGAGCAAACGGGAGUUAG
rnacentral:rRNA from 1 species